AUUCUGUUUCAGGGCGGGGUGAAAUUCCCCACUGGCGGUAAUCGAAGUCCGUCGGCAAACGCGUCGCACAACGCAGCUCGCCGGCAUUUCGUCAGUCCGCGACCCUGGCGCUGCGCGCCAGGCUGAUUCGGUGAAAACCCGAAACCAACGGUCACAGUCCGGAUGGAAGAGGCAGGGU
rnacentral:ncRNA from 2 species